rnacentral:rRNA from 1 species
UACGAAGGGGGCUAGCGUUGCUCGGAAUCACUGGGCGUAAAGGGUGCGUAGGCGGGUCUUUAAGUCAGGGGUGAAAUCCUGGAGCUCAACUCCAGAACUGCCUUUGAUACUGAGGAUCUUGAGUAUGGGAGAGGUGAGUGGAACUGCGAGUGUAGAGGUGAAAUUCGUAGAUAUUCGCAAGAACACCAGUGGCGAAGGCGGCUCACUGGCCCAUUACUGACGCUGAGGCACGAAAGCGUGGGAGCAAGCAGG